CUUCAGAGUUAUGCUAAUGAGGUACAAAGCUGCAGUGUGAUUUAAUGAUUAUUGGAGAUAAUGCAGCUGCCAACACCUACCCAUACAUUGAGGUCAAGAAUCCUACAGCUCGCAUUGAACACGAAGCCAGUACCUCCAAAAUUGGUGAAGACCAGCAAUUUUACUUUCAGUAAAGGGGAAUAGACUAUGAGAAAGCCAUGGCUGCCAUGAUAUCUCGUUUUUGCCAGGCAGUAUUCAAUGAGCUUCCUGAUGAGUUUGGGUCUUAGGUGAAUCAACUGAUUGGCUUGAAGCUUGAAGGAACAGAGGGGUAGAUAAUUGUAAGAUGAGUUGAGGAAAUCCAAUCCUUUUGUCAACGAGUGUUAAAUCCGAGUAGUUUGCAGGAGAUAGAUGGCUAGAAUAUGUUAGUAACGAGCAGGAUCCAAGGAUGCAUGAUGUGAAUUAUAACAAUCUCUUUUAUAUAAUGAUCACUUACUAUUAAUUU